CGUGUAGGCGGUUAUGCAAGUCGGGUGUGAAAGCCCAGGGCUCAACCCUGGAAGUGCAUUCGAUACUGCGUAGCUAGAGUACUGGAGAGGAUGGUGGAACUCUCGGUGUAGAGGUGAAAUUCGUAGAUAUCGAGAAGAACACCGGUGGCGAAGGCGGCCAUCUGGACAGAUACUGACGCUGAGACGCGAAAGCGUGGGAGCAAACA
rnacentral:rRNA from 1 species